GAUGCGCACACAAGCGUGAACCGUGUACAUGUAAUGCGCAGAGCGUUCUGCAGUGCAUGGCGGUCUAUGCAGCAUGCAGCAUCUCGAAACUGCCAUCGCUGAUUCAGCGCUGUGUUAGCUCAAUUACCUUGAAACGCAGUGAGGAAAGAAUAACAGGAGUGAGCAUUUGGUCACAUUUGGCGAGCGAACGGAAGUGACUAUAUAUAAGUGGACGGUCAAGAUGGCCGCUUAGGAACGAAUUGCAGCAUGACAGAGAUACUGUAUACAAUCGGUGAUCAUGCGCAAAAUAAGUGCAGAUUGGAACAAGUAAGGCAACAAGUGGCUGUACACGGCCCUGAAAAACGUCAAAAAAGUGGACGGUCAAGAUGGCUGCGAUGACGUAUUACUCUGUUCGCGAUAAGUCUACCCCCAUUACCGAUAUACUCACUCCUGUUAUUCUUUCCUCAUUGUUGAAACAAACAACAACUGUUUAUAUUAUAUUUACCAUGUAUAUGGAUGUGACUGUAACCGCUCAAAAAACAAAAAAGUUUAUCUAUGUAAUUGAUUUUAAUGAUCUUAUUUUACUAUUAUUUUAUAUGCUAUGGUUCAUUUAUUAUUACUUUACAUGCUAUAAUUUUAUUUUGUCUGUUUAGUCUUUUUGUUAUUUAAAUUCUUUUAUUCGCUUACGUGAGAUUUGUAUACAGAAUGGAUACAAAUCGAUAUUUCUUGUCAAAAAAUAAGCAUCUUUUUCCUU